UUUCACCAUCCAGAGAUGUCUGUGCCUCGUCUCUGGUUCCUGUUUCUGGUGCUAAGGGUCGGUUUUACCGUUGUGGCGGCCGUGCUGAUCCAACAGACUCCCGCUUACAUAUCCGGUUCCCUGGGCACUCCAAUCAGCAUCGUAUGCUUUUACACAAAAGCAAGUACUGGCAGCGAAUUCUUCUGGUACCGAUGGCGCCCUGCCCGUGAGCCUCAGAACCUUUUCUAUUCCAACACUGCUGGCACGGCCAUUGCCUCCGGUAAAGUAGAUGGUUUCACCGCGAGAAGACCCAACAACACUCACUUUUACCUGGAUUCUCCCGGUCUGCGGGCGAAUCAGUCGGCUGUGUAUUAUUGCGCCUGGAGUAAACACAGCGACUCACAAAGACGGAAGAGCUCAACAAAAACCCCAAUGGCACCAAAAUAUAACUGUAGCACUAUUAAUGUUCUGCUGGACAGUCGAUCCGGGCAUAUUGCGGAUGUCAGUGAGCCGAACAAAUGA